GACGAACGCUGGCGGCGUGCCUAAUACAUGCAAGUCGAGCGAACAGACGAGGAGCUUGCUCCUCUGACGUUAGCGGCGGACGGGUGAGUAACACGUGGAUAACCUACCUAUAAGACUGGGAUAACUUCGGGAAACCGGAGCUAAUACCGGAUAAUAUAUUGAACCGCAUGGUUCAAUAGUGAAAGACGGUUUUGCUGUCACUUAUAGAUGGAUCCGCGCCGCAUUAGCUAGUUGGUAAGGUAACGGCUUACCAAGGCGACGAUGCGUAGCCGACCUGAGAGGGUGAUCGGCCACACUGGAACUGAGACACGGUCCAGACUCCUACGGGAGGCAGCAGUAGGGAAUCUUCCGCAAUGGGCGAAAGCCUGACGGAGCAACGCCGCGUGAGUGAUGAAGGUCUUCGGAUCGUAAAACUCUGUUAUUAGGGAAGAACAAAUGUGUAAGUAACUGUGCACGUCUUGACGGUACCUAAUCAGAAAGCCACGGCUAACUACGUG
rnacentral:rRNA from 1 species